UUUCCUUGCUUGAGGAUGAGGCUUUCCAGUUAUAAAUCUCAUUUCUCAACUUCCGCUACAGCCUGAGCACUCUCCUUGGGACAAGCCACAUCUUACUUCAGUUAAGGCUGAGAACUCUAUGGAGUUUGGGACACAGCUGCUUCUCAGCUCACGAUCUCUUUGUCUGUCUGUCUCAGGGAAAAUUCACUAAUUUCUCUUUGGCUAAAUCAGUUUGAAUCAAGUAAAUAGCACUGGAGGCACUUCAGAUCGAUGAGCCUGUUGCUAGCUUCUAAUGACUUGUAGAGACUGGCAUGCUGAUCUCUGCAUUCAAGG